UCAUGAUCAUGAAUUAGUGAAAGGUCAUUUAAAUUUUAUAAUUAUUGGUUCUCCUUGGACUAUUCAAAUUUAGUGAUUAAACUAAUGGUUAGUUAUUUUGUGUGAUCAGGAAUGGUGGACGCUUAUGGGAACGAUAGCUUAUGGAACAGGAAAUGACUGCUGUGUGUGCAUUUGUGCUUGUGCUGAAGAGGCAUUUUUUGCUUUAUUAUUGACAACAGAAGAGGGGACAGUGAUGAGGUCAGUUACUGGCAGGGUUAAUGGGCCAGGUAACUGCCCUCUGGACUCCAAACACGUGGUUAUUGGUCAGACUCCUCUAAGGAUAUAAAUUGUGAAGACUUCAGUGUAGCUCUGUGUUCUGCACAACAACAACCACCUGGGAACUGCUGGAGGCUGUUCAGUUUUACAGAUAUAAUGAAGGGUACAUUCAGCGUGUCUGUCAGUCUGUUGCUGCUGUGUGUUUUGUGGGGUGACAGUCAGCCUGUACACACUGCUGCUCACACUGUCAGAGAGAUGAUAGAGCUCCUGAGAGCGAUGACUCCAGUCAAUGAGCAGGAGGAUCAGGACACAGAGCUGAUGGACUCUCCCGAGGUUCUGUGGCCUAAUACUGAGGAUCUGGAGAAAAGAGACCUGCCACGUCUAGGAGUAGCAAUACAUAGGGCUUUACCCUCAAGAGUCCACAGCAGGUAAUCAAAUAACCACUGACAUGCUGUUCUUAUAAAACAGCAGCACAUGAUUUUUUAAAGGCCAUUAAGGCUUCCCCCAAAAAAUCUUAAAUGAUCAAUUCUUAAAAGAACCAUUUUUUCUUAGUGUACACUACAUAAUAUUUUGGAACAAUUUUCCACUAAGAAAGAACCUUUUAUGCAAUGGAAAUGUUCCAUGUAUGUUAAAGGUUCUUAAUGGCACCAGAUGCCUUUAUUUGUAAGAAUGUACUUUGUGCCCUAUACAUGAGCAAAAACGUGUUUAUUUUUUAUAUAUAUAUUCUUUAUAUUUUAUAUAAAUAGAGUAAAAGUGACAAGUGGUGUUUAACACAUUAUAGCUUAACUGUGGCUUGUAUUUUUCUUUGUGUGUGUGUGUGUGUGUGUGUGUGUGUGUGUGUGUGUGUGUGUGUGUUCAGUAACUCAGAGCAUGCAUCUAGAUAUCGUUUGUCUUCUCCAGCUAAGUGGAUGUCCAGUCUCCAAGGUUGAAGAAUAGUAAUUGUUUGAUUCAUCUGUCUCAAAAAUGCUUGAAGGUUUACACACAACUCUCAUCCGCAUGAAGAACUCAUUGUUAGACAAUAAAUAAAAGGAGUUACAAAAUAUAUACA
ensembl:lncRNA